rnacentral:lncRNA from 1 species
AAGCCCAAGAUUUAUCAAGAAGAUGGAUUUGGAGAUCUUAAAAGAAGAAUUCAAAUGCUUUUAGACCCAAUCACAAGAGCUCAGUCCAAAAAGAUCCAAUAAGCCUUUAAUAUUUUGGUCCAAUAGUGGGUAAGUGAAGAACUCAAGUUGGAGGCCUAAGAAAGAGCAAGAAAAGGCCCAAGAAGCCAAGGAAGGCCUCGACCUUAUGUGGUUUUAGCUUUAAGCCCAUAAGACCGAG